CCGGUGCGGCUGGUGCACCCCCUUCCGAUAACCACCCAUAACCGCCCCUGCUUGCCCGAGGUUCUACUUGAUUGCCAAGGCGUCUUAACCUCGGCCUCGGUUUGUCCGCGCGGACUUUCUCUACGUUUGCACGAUGAAAAAGCACCGUGUCAGCCUAUAAGAGACGCGAGCCAACCACAGCAACCAACCUGGGCGCAGAAAAAUGCGAGGCGACGCCCAGUGGGCGAAUAAAGAGGCGUAAUCGAGAACGAAAAAGGCCAAUCCUGCCGGAAGAGCGCAGUAACUCCGACCAACUGGCUUCCAUAUGGAACGCGCUGACAGCCGUUCGUUAAAUCCGCGCGGACUGUUUCCCCAACCUUUAUUAUGCCUUUCUACGCGCCAGUAUACGUGUGUAUAGACACGGCUACAAGCGAGCGCGGCCUAUACUCCCGCUGGUCUCCUCGAGUUCCGCACUAUGGGUAGGGGUCGAAGAAGGAAGAGGGUACGACCCCAGGGGUCGCGGAAGAAAGAAGAAAGAGAAGGCAGGGACGGUCACCAAAUGAACGAACAUUUCCGUGGCACGGACCACGAAAAACGUUCGACGCAGAGAAUAGCGUUGCUCGGUGAUUGUCGUGCGCUAGUAGUGGUGAUAGUUGCGAUAUUGGUAGUAGUGCGCCACUCGCGUAGUCAGCCCACUCCACACGGACUAGUCCAGCCAAUUAAUACCAACGCCUUUCGCUCCCAGACUCCGAAAAAUCCUCUUGUUCCUAGCCGCGACAACGAGCAGCCGGAGGUCCAUUCGAUGAUAUCGUUCCUGGUAGCCCAACCGUUUCGUUGACAAGUGCAACGAAGGUGUUAUCCCUCCGUGAAAAAGUUUCGUCGAAUUACUGGACGUCGCAGCCCCACCUAUAUAUUUAUAUAUAUGUAUAUAUAUAUAUAUAUAUACGAUACCGUCGUAGAUUUAUUCGAGUCGAGAGGAACACCGAGUUAUCGAUCUUAUCGCAUUACAAAGGGAUGCUAUGUAUUAUGCUUAUUAUUUUUCUCUAAACGCAACUAUAUAAAGAGAAGGAAAAGAUGUGUAGGGAAAUUUAUGAAAAAUUGAUUUCUUGUUGCAAAUGAAAUUGCUCGUAUAUACAUAUUCUAUCUCAUGAAACUGUGCGAACAUCGAUACGGCGUAUUAAGAGAUUACAAUGCGGCAGAUCUAUAGGUUAAUUCUCGAUCGAACGAGUCUGCGUUUCGACGAGCUUUCAGGUUAGAUGGUUUAUAGUAUUUAACUUAAAAUGGACCAUGUAAAUAUGUAUCUCGUUCGACCAAAUAAAAAAAUAUUUCAUAUGCAAUUUAAAUGAUAUCGAAGGACAAAUACAAUGCAAAAAAAUAUUUUUGUUCCAAGGUUAUCAUUUUCGGAGCUUUCAAAACUACCGAUAUUUUUAAUAUAUGUAAGUAUAUAUGUACUAUCUUUUUUUCUAAGUUGCAGCUGUUGCAUUAAAUUUUAUUUGGAGAUAUGUAAUACCGCGACCUUGAAAUAACCUUUGACACUUAUAACUAAAGGUCAAACAUGACAUCUAUUUCCAUUGAAAUCACAAACUUCGACGAUGACGGAAGACAACAUAUGUAUUAUGCAUGUAAACAAAACUUGUUUACUAUAAUACCAUAAAUAUCAGACAGUUCGUCAUUGUAUUGAUAAACUGUUCAUAAUGCGUUACUCGAAAGAAGAGAAAAUUAAUGUGAUUUUCAUUUGCAACAAGAUUCGAGAAUUUCUCUAAAGAAAGAAAUAUUUAGGUGAUUCGUUUUAAGCGAGAAGAACACGCUAUAUCCGAUAAUGUCGAAAAAUAAUAUUAAUAAAAGUUUGAGAAUAAUUGCGUCGUGUCGACGCCAGAUAUACAUAUGUAUAACGAAUACACGCCGUCGACGCGGCCAAUUAUAUCGUUACAAGUGUAUUUACGAAUGCGGCUACAUGUGGAUGGCCUAUUUUGGCGACCUCUCACGCUCAUUGACGGAAUCGCGAAAAAUCGACACGGUCGGCCACGAUGCGCGAAACGGCAUAUGAACGAUUGAAAAUAAAACGAAAGGAAAACUGAAACAUACACCCACCAACGUAUACACACAUACAUGCUGGUGGCUUCCUCGUUAUUAUGAAGAGCAACGAACGAGCGAGACUGGCGGAUAUAUUUGACGUAUCAAUAAAUUAUAAUGAAUUUUGGCACAUGGAAUGUUAACAGGCGCGCGUGUUCAUAAAAUUUCGUAUGCACUUAUGACGAAGCAUCCAUAACAACCUGUGUCAAUGCACAACGUUUCGGCUCUGAUAUUUAAGGGAAUUCCAAUAUAUUUCGUUAAAAUGUCCGAAUUAAAUUAAUAAUCGACUUUACAACCGGAUCCGAUUUAUUAGUAUGCUUCUGUUAUACAUAAAAUUCCACUUAUCCCUUUCUUUUUCCCUUCUUUUCCUCUACGGAAAUUUCGUCCUCUUUCCCCCCUUCUCGCCUCAUUCCCUCUUCCUUCUCUUCCUCUUCCUCGCUCCGAGCUCUUUCGCCAGAGAUUUCGAUCGAUCGUUUUCAAUGCGGUGUCAUUUCGACGAGAGCCACGACAAGCGAACACUCUCGACGCUUAACGAUCGUUUUAUAAAAUGACGUGACCCUCGUAAUUUCAUUAUGCCUUAAUCCAACGAACGCUCGCGUUGCGGCGGGCGAAAAAGAGAAACUGCCCGCCACGCUCGUUGAAACGAGACCGAGCAACAGGGCAGAAGGAUGUGGGAGUUAGGAUGGUGAAAUGCUGAAAAAAGGGAGGGACGGUAGUAGGAACCUCUCCUCGAUAUUCAAGAGUGGCACUCGCAAUAUUAACGAGCGCCUAUUAGCGAGUGGCAACUGGUAGAGGAAGGGAAAUUCAUUUUACUUUUUCUUCUUUUAAUCGUUCCUUUUUUUUUUUUUUUUUACUAAAUACGAAAGGGGUCGGCGCGAACCUUCACUCCACCCUUUCCAUUAAAUCAUUCAGCCCCUUUUACUUUCAUUUUCUUUCAUCAGACUGUUUCCAAAUUUCGUUUCAUUCCUGAAUUGCAUCUCGUCACGUGACGAUCUACAAUCUAUGUAUGUACGUAUAAUGCGAUUGAGGUUAACAAGAUUACGUUAUCGAAUGAGAAAAUCGUAUUUCGGAGAAAUAUAAUAAUAUACCUGGUAAUCGUGUUAGAAUUUUUACAAGAAAGAGAUCGCAGAGAUUUCAGAUUCUAGUUUAAUUUUAAAACACGGCAAGGAAGCGUUGAUUUUAUUAUCUGCGUUUACCUGUACGCGAUAAGUGAUUUAUCGCGUCUUAACGCAUCGAACGUUUACAUUGGUCUGGUUAUCGCGAAUAAACAA